rnacentral:tRNA from 1 species
GCUGUGGUAGCGCAGUGGUAAAGCAUUUGGCUGCUAACCAAAAGGUCAGCAGUUCAAAUUCAUCAGCC